rnacentral:rRNA from 1 species
AUACGGAGGGGGCUAGCGUUGUUCGGAAUUACUGGGCGUAAAGCGUACGUAGGCGGUUUGUUAAGUCAGAUGAGAAAGCCCCGGGCUCAACCUGGGAACUGCAUUUGAAACUGGCAGGCUAGAGUAUGGUAGAGGGGGGUAGAAUUUCUGGUGUAGCGGUGAAAUGCGUAGAUAUCAGAAGGAAUACCAGUGGCGAAGGCGGCCCCCUGGACCAAUACUGACGCUGAGGUACGAAAGCGUGGGUAGCGAACAGGAUUAGAAACCCCGGUAGUCC